rfam:Metarhizium majus ARSEF 297 Scaffold_4, whole genome shotgun sequence.
CUUGCAUGAUGAGACUUAUUUUCAUCCAGUUCUGCUACUGAACUAAAGUGAUGACUCCUAAAUACCAUACCAAGAUCUCUGAUAC